AGCAGUAGCCACGGGAACACGUAGGGUGCAAGCGUUAAUCGGAAUUACUGGGCGUAAAGCGUGCGCAGGCGGUUAUAUAAGACAGAUGUGAAAUCCCCGGGCUCAACCUGGGAACUGCAUUUGUGACUGUAUAGCUAGAGUACGGCAGAGGGGGAUGGAAUUCCGCGUGUAGCAGUGAAAUGCGUAGAUAUGCGGAGGAACACCGAUGGCGAAGGCAAUCCCCUGGGCCUGUACUGACGCUCAUGCACGAAAGCGUGGGGAGCAAACAGGAUUAGAUACCCGCGUAGUCCCUGUCUCUUAUAC
rnacentral:rRNA from 1 species